UGGGGGGAUAUUGGACAAUGGGGGGCAACCCUGAUCCAGCGACGCCGCGUGAGGGAAGAAGGUUUUCGGAUUGUAAACCUCUGCUGACGGAGAAAAAGAUGAUGGUAUCCGUUUAGAAAGCCACGGCUAACUACGUGCCAGCAGCCGCGGUAAUACGUAGGGGGCAAGCGUUAUCCGGAUUUACUGGGUGUAAAGGGAGCGUAGACGGCAAUGCAAGUCUGAAGUGAAAGGCCGGGGCUCAACCCCGGGACUGCUUUGGAAACUGUGUAGCUGGAGUACAGGAGAGGUAAGUGGAAUUCCUAGUGUAGCGGUGAAAUGCGUAGAUAUUAGGAGGAACACCAGUGGCGAAGGCGGCUUACUGGACUGUAACUGACGUUGAGGCUCGAAAGCGUGGGGAGCAAACAGGAUUAGAUACCCUGGUAGU
rnacentral:rRNA from 1 species